ensembl:lncRNA
GGCAGUCAGUGGAGGUUGGGGACCACCUAGGAAAGAAUGGGGGAUAACAGACUCAAAGAAGAAUACCAAGAGUCUGAUCAAGGCGACAAAUUUUAUUUUUUCCCAAGGCUGAAUUUAUACCAUAGCAGGGGUAACAGAGGGAGGGGAAAAGUGGGAAACAUCUAUGCAGGCCAAGGACACAGUGCUCUUGUGGUCAGCUGAUGUCAACAGGAUGUUGGUUUCUCAGAAAGGUCACAGGGUAAAUGUUUGUUAGAGUUGAUGAAGCUCCUGCACCUGAUAAACAUCUGGAUAGGCUUUGCUCCGGCUCCCUGGAACUCUAUCUGCAGGACGCAAUGACUAGAGCAGUAUACAAUAAGGACUUGGACAAACAUCACAAGGGUUAUGGUCUCUAAACACUGAUGAAAUUAACUAAGAGGAAGAAUAUUCAUCCAAAAAAUGCUGUGGCUGUUGGUCAGCGGGCACUCCUGAGAAAGCAACUCAUUCUUCAAGAUGCUGUCUUCCUGGAAUGUGUCCAAUUCCAGCUCUCUUGCAGCUUCUGAGACCUGGGAGAGGAAGGCAGGUUCAAGUCCAGCAGGUAUUUCUGUAGAACUGCACAAUCAAGCUGUAUCACAUUGCUCUCCUGCUUCAAUGUGACCAACUUCUUCUUCAAGAGACUCUUCUCCAUCUGGAUUCGGCUGUGCAGGUUGCUGGAAACACACUCUGCAUGGAUCAGGGAACACAGUGAGGAAUGGGCUAAAGAGAAUGUAAAAGCUGGAAGAGAGGAAGAAAGUUUACAAAACAUCAACUUCUGCUCCAUACACUGCUAUUAAAGUCACAGAUGCUUAGCAACUAGGGAUUACCAUGUAAGAACUGGCCCAUCAAGAUACAGACAAACACUGG